CUGGCUCAGAAUGAACGCUGGCGGCGUGCUUAACACAUGCAAGUCGAACGAGAAAUCUUUAGCUUGCUAGAGAAAGUAAAGUGGCGCACGGGUGAGUAACGCGUGGGUAAUCUGCCUCCGAAUCGGGGAUAACAUUGCGAAAGCGAUGCUAAUACCGGAUAAAAUCUGGUUGGCUUCGGUGAACCGGAUCAAAGGUGGUCUCUUUAUAAAAGCUACCGUUUGGAGAUGAGCUCGCGUACCAUUAGCUAGUUGGUGAGGUAAAGGCUCACCAAGGCGACGAUGGUUAGCUGGUCUGAGAGGAUGAUCAGCCACACCGGAACUGGAACACGGUCCGGACUCCUACGGGAGGCAGCAGUGAGGAAUUUUGCGCAAUGGGGGAAACCCUGACGCAGCAACGCCGCGUGAGUGAUGAAGGCUUUCGGGUCGUAAAGCUCUGUCAGGUGGGAAGAACCCACCAAGUGUUAAGACCACUUGGUGCUGACGGUACCACCGAAGGAAGCACCGGCUAACUCCGUGCCAGCAGCCGCGGUAAUACGGGGGGUGCGAGCGUUAUUCGGAAUCAUUGGGCGUAAAGGGCGCGCAGGCGGUUUUGUAAGUCAGAUGUGAAAUCCCGGGGCUUAACCCCGGAAGUGCAUAUGAAACUAUGAGACUUGAGUAUGGGAGAGGGAAGCGGAAUUCCUGGUGUAGCGGUGAAAUGCGUAGAUAUCAGGAGGAACACCGGUGGCGAAGGCGGCUUCCUGGACCAAUACUGACGCUGAGGCGCGAAGGCGUGGGGAGCGAACAGGAUUAGAUACCCUGGUAGUCCACGCAGUAAACGUUGAUCACUAGGUGUAACGGGUAUUGACCCCUGCUGUGCCGGAGUUAACGCAUUAAGUGAUCCGCCUGGGGAGUACGAUCGCAAGAUUAAAACUCAAAGGAAUUGACGGGGGCCCGCACAAGCGGUGGAGCAUGGUGGUUAAAUUCGACGCAAACGCGAAAACCUUACCUGGAC
rnacentral:rRNA from 1 species